UACGUAGGGUGCGAGCGUUGUCCGGAAUUAUUGGGCGUAAAGAGCUUGUAGGCGGUUUGUCGCGUCUGCUGUGAAAAUCCGGGGCUCAACCCCGGACUUGCAGUGGGUACGGGCAGGCUAGAGUGUGGUAGGGGAGACUGGAAUUCCUGGUGUAGCGGUGAAAUGCGCAGAUAUCAGGAAGAACACCCGUGGCGAAGGCGGUUCUCUGGGACGGUACUGACGCUGAGACGCGAAAGCGUGGGGAGCGAACAGG
rnacentral:rRNA from 1 species